GCCCUGUAUUUACUUUAGCAUCAAUCUUGAUAACAGAAAGAUCUUUAUUACAUAGUAUAUCAUUAAAACCCACACAAAAUACCCCCGCAAGGGCACCACUCUAGCACACCACAGAAAAGCUAACACCUUGUCCCUUUUGCAUCAUGGCGAAGCAACAAAACCUUAGUGUUUUAACCCCCCGAAUAACUAUGAGCUACUGAGUCUUUAAAAUUAAUGUUUCAUAAUUAAUAAAGUAGCAUUCAGUAGAAGUAACAAGCCUUCCAUAUAGUUAGAUAGCUGGCUUUCCACAAAAAACACCAAAGUGUCUCACCAUAGAGAAACCAAACUAAUCCACCUAUGGAUGUCAACCUUCUGAGGACCAGCUCUGAAGGCUAUAAAAAAUACCAUCACCCCACUACCUGAUAGUAGGCCUAAAAACAGCCAUCCAACAGCGUUCCAGUUAACAGCUCACAAAUAAUCAAUAUUAAACCAAAAUUUUCGCAUAAGUGGAACUUGACGCCAAACCCAUAACGUCAAUGAACCGGCAUUCUAUUAGUAUUCAUACAUCAUCUCUUACACAACUAAAUUUAAUUAAACCAAACCCAAACCUUACUCAAAAUCGUAUAGAGUGAACUCGGCAACAAAGUUCUCUGCCUGUUUACCAAAAACAUCGUCCUCUGACACCUACACAUAAAGGAUAAUGCCUGCCCAGUGAACACUUAAACGGCCGCGUUAGCGUGAGCGUGCUAAGGUAGCGUAAUAAAUAGCCUUUUAAUUGAAGGCCAGUGAAUGGCAAGACUAGGAACACCUAUACACUCUACGUUUAAAAAACUUUUCGUCUAAGUGAAAAGACUUAGAUAAAUAAGGAAGACGAAAAGACCCCGCGGAGCUUUACUUUUUCUAUUACGAAUAUCAAUAUAUAUAAAUAUCAAAAGUUUGAUUGGGGCAAUCUCGGAACCACCAAGCUUCCGACCGCUUUAAGAAAAAAAUAAAAAACUCAUUACGGACAAGACAGAAGCUACCCCGGGGAUAACAGCGUCAUCCAACUUGAGAGUACAUAUCGAAAGUUGGGUUUGCGACCUCGAUGUUGGCUUAAGGAUAUCCGCAUCAGUGCAGCCGCUAUGCAGGACAGUCUGUUCGACUAUUAUACCCUUACACGAGCUGAGUUAAGACCGGCGCAAGCUAGGUUGGUUUCUAUCUCCUUUAUUUCAACUCUAUCCUUGAUUGUACGAAAGGACCCCAAGAAAUGCACCAAAUAAAAGCAUACCUUAUAUACUAUAACUUACCUAUCAUAAAUUAUAAGACACACCA
rnacentral:rRNA from 1 species